ensembl:lncRNA
GACGCGAUGUGGGGUGCGGGGCCUGAGUGUUAAAACCAAAACCAGCAAACACUGACUGGGAGAAGAAGUCAGCGGAUUCUCCGCAAGGAUGUAGAAGGGACUGCUGUUCCCACAUAUCCCUGCAGCUGUGGGUUUCCACGAAGAAGUGAUUGCUGGCUGGAGGAAGCACUCAGGUUUUUUUCACUUAUGUUUACCAGUACUGCAAAAACAAAACAAAAAACAACACAAAGAAAUAAUGUCUGGAUGAAGUCAAGUCAUAUGUUCUGUGGUCCUGGUAGCCCACAAGGAGUGAGGAAUCUGCCAGGUAUUUUCAGGAAGACCAAUGUGAACUUAAGGGAUUCAAAAGAAACAAGGUGGAGGGAACAGAGAAAAGGAUGGGACCAUUCCUCCAGAGAAGCAAUAGAAUUGGUCAGCAGCCCAGGAGAAGAUGCUGCCCCUUCCAGUCAUCAGAAAGACAACACACUUGUUGGGUGUGUAAAGACUAAAAAAAAGGGACAGUGGCUAGGCAGCACGGUGGUGGUGGUGGUGGAAGAGGCGAGUCGCAUUCCACUUUGCUAAUAAUAGGAGGGGACAUUUGGGACCUGAACUCACCAGUGACGUAGCCUCACGUGACCAGGAGCCUAUGUACUGAAGUCUUGGUCCAGACAGCGGUUCUGCUCAGGUAACCACCUCCCUGUUUCCUUGGAGGUGGCGUGAUUGUGGGCAAGGAUGGAGGAGGAGGACGAAGAGGAAACCAUUCCUGAUUCCUGUAUGUCGGUGUGAGGGUGGGUGUUGAUUGAAAACUCCUGGAGUGAGGGUGGAGGGUAGCAGCACAAUUGCUGAUUUGGAGGCACUUUUGUGUUUCCCUAUGCGGACACCGGAACCCAGCCUCUUUAUCAUGCCAAGUAAAAGGCGGGGCAGUACCAGCAGCAGAAGUGCUUGGCUUAGGUGACUUUAGAGACAAAGGGGAGGAAGUAGUUAUCAGGGAGCAGAGAGAUGGGGGCACCGUGAGGUGAGGGAUAGGUCUGACAGCUUGGAUCUGGAACAGAGAAAGGUCGGGGUUUGGACCCACAUUUGGGUGUUGGCGCAUCCACUGGAGCUUUAAAUCCCUAGCCUCCUGUUCAUGUCUGCUUUUGGCUUUGGUCUAUCCAUGUCUGCCAGUCUACCCCUUAGUGAUGGGAUGGGGAUGCAAAAGAAGGUCAAUGCCUCAUUUCUGUUUUUCCUCCUCCCCAAACACUCAGACCCCUUAGAUCCCACUUGACUGCUUUUUUAGAUUCCAGCCUCCAAAACGUUCUCAAUAGCCUGGGUGAAACCCCUGAUAUUUUUGAAGCAGCUGCAGUACGGGCCGUUCCCAGAAUUUGGGCUUUUUUUUUUUUUUUUUUUUUUUUUUUUGUUUUUGGUUGUUGGGGUAGAGGNNNNNNNAGAAUUUGGGCUUGAUGGCAGAGGGACUGGUGAUUGGGGCUGGCACCUGAUACUACAUCUACCAACUGAACUGUGAUGGAGAGCAGAACAAGAAGCAACCAACUGAUUCAAAAGACAUUAAUCCUGCCUACAAAAAGUUUAGAAAGUACAGAAAACUAGAAGGAAGAAAAUAAAAUAAGCCAUCAAUAAUUACCA